rnacentral:lncRNA from 1 species
CACACAAUACCUAACAUUCAGACUGAAUGUUCUGUAUACAGAUGUCAUGAAAUCGGGUCUGACAUCUCAGUAAAACUCUGCACAUUCACAUUUUAAACACCCUGCGGGAACAUGUUAUCUCAUGUCAAGACAACACUUGUGACAACUUGUGAACACUCUAGGUUUUACCAAAAUUGCUGCCAACACAUAGGUUCGGGAGUCGGUUAAAAAUUAUAUGUAACACUAAGGAAUAGAGAAAUAAUGAUAAAACCUAAUACUUAAAGGUGAGAAACUAGGUCCGGGAGUCGGUUAAAUAAGGGGAAGGUACUAGGCACCCCUUACCUCCAUUGUACUCAAUGGGAUCCUCCUUUAAUUCUAGGGUUAGUGUGUAUGCCUAAGGUAUUUUCUUGAUUAAUGAUUAACUAUUAAUUAUUUAUUUAUUUACAUAAGGUAUUUUAUUAAAUGGAAGAGAGACACAAAAAGACUUUUUAUUAUCGUACUCACCAGAGUUUACAACUCUAUGUCGACGUACCUUCGCAUUAGGCGAAGGAUCGGAGUACCAUAGUUCUUCUUAAAAAAGGGUUGGUCGGUUGAUUAUUUUUAUCCCUUAAAAUUUUCUUACGGUUUGUAGUGAGUUUAAGUUGAUUUUAUACCUUUGUCCCUUGUAAAAUAUAGUAUUUAAUUUAUUUAAGAAAAUAAAUUAGGCGUCAUUAUUAGAUAUUAGACAUAAUCUUUCAUCCCAAUUUUAAUCCCGAUUUAACCCUUGAAGACUUUGGAAUUUAUCCCACAUUGUAUCACAUGUCCUUGUCCCAAUAAAUUUGAAAAUAUCAUUUAAUUUAAUUAACAAAAAUAAAAUAAAUAUGAUAUAAUAAUAUAAUACAACAUAAAUUAAAUUAAAUGUAAUACAAACAAAUUAAAUUAGAUAUCAUAAGAUAUAUCCCCUAUCUGUAUUUUAUCCCAUUUUUAUAUCCCUUAAAACUCUAAGAGUUAUCCCUGAUUCUAUCACAUGAUUCCUGAUUUAAUUAACCCUAAUAAUAAUAUAUUCCUAAUGAAUUAAAAUAUUAAUAUUAUAAUUAAUUAAUCAAUUAAAUAAAAAACCAAAUUAUCAUGAAUAAAUAAAUAACAAAAACCUAAUUAUUUUUUAAUUGAAUUAAUCCUAAAUAUUAAAUAGAUAAAUCCUAAUUAAUAGUUAACUAAGUAAUUAAUUAACUAAAAAUAAUAAUAAAAAAUGGAGCGGGGGUGCACUUUGAAUUGAGUCAGUAAUGGGCCAUCAGGACGGAGGUGUUAAUAGCCGAGGGAAGAGGCUCAUUGGCCUCUCGGAGCCAACAUGGUGGGAGGGCUCCACGGAGAGAGAGUCCAAGUUUGACUAUUUUCUGGCCCUUUGAUCGUGAUCCUAAGGAUCUUAUGGGAUCACACCAUGGCCUUUGAUCUGGAUUACCAGUCAAAGUACGCUAGACAAGUGGUUUAGAUGGGAAGUCAAUGGGGAUACACGGUAUUCGCAUGUGUAGAGGAGCAUCAAUUGACUAAGAUAGUCAACUGAUCUGGAGAGCUCUAAGAGUGUCACUUGGAUGGAAUCAGAGAGGUCAUAGUGGGGGUAUAUAACCCUCAACCCUCUCAGUGCUCUCUCAUUUUUCAAUCUUCUUUAUCUCUCUUCUCUCCCUUCUCUCUACCCUCUCCAUCCAGCCACCCCUUUCUUUACCUUAACCUGCCUCUCUGACCACCACCUUUAACCAGAAUCUUCAUGUUCAUCAUGAUUGUCACGGCUGGAAAAAUGACAGAGUCACCAUCAUCCUUUAUUCGUUCCUAAGGAAUAGAGAAAUAAUGAUAAAACCUAAUAGUUAAGGUGAGAUACUAGGUUCGGGAGUCAGUUAGGUAAACGAGAAGGUGUUAGGCACCCGUUGCCUCCAUUGUAUUCAAUGUGAUCCUCCUACAAUUCUAGGGCUAGUGUAUGCUUCUACGGUGUUUACUUCAAUAUUUAUUAAUUAUUUAUCUACUUAUAUUCAGGAGGUAUUACAUUCAAAUGGACGAGAGACCUAAAAAGCUUUUUUUAUAUAAUUGUACUCGCUAGAGUUCACAACUCUAUGCCUACGUACCUUCGCAUUAGGCGAGGGAUUAGAGUACCGUAGUUUUUCUUGAAAAUGUUGGUUGGUUAGUUGUGUUUUAUCCCUUGAAAACUCUCACGCAUCGGAGGCGGAGAAUUUUUUUUAGAAAAUGCCUCAAUACACUAGGGCAGAGGUCUUACGGUUUGAGGUGAAGUUGAAUUGAUUUUAUCCCUUUAUCCCUUGCAAAAAUAUUAUUUUAAAUUAUUUAAGAAAAUAAAAUAAGAGUCAUAGUUAUGUGAUAUCCCCUUAUCCCGAUUUAAUCUUUGAUAACCCAUUUAUCCCAAAUUAUAUCACAUGUCUUUAUCCCAUUUUAAUUUGAGAAUAUCAUUUAAUUUUAUAAUAAUAUAUUAAAUAUAAUAUAAUACAAAAGUAAAUCAAAUUAAAGAUAAUAAUUUAAAUAUGAUGGAAUAAGAUAUAUCCUUUUUCCUGAUUUUAUCCCAUUCUUGCACCCCUUAAAACCCUAAGUAUUAUCCUUGAUUCCAUCCCAUAAUUCCUGAUUUAGUUAACCCUAAUUCUUAAGGGUAUAAAUCCCUAAUUUCGUUAAAUAUGAAUAUUAUAAUUAAUCAAUAAUAGAAUUAAUCCUAAUUAAUUAAUUAAACCAUAGAUAAAUAAAUUAAAGUAUAAAAUAAAUUAUGAAUAAUUAAAAUUUAGAAAAAACUAAUUACUGGUUUAAGAAAAUUAGUACCAAAUAUUAAUUAAAUAAGUCCUAAUUAAUAGUUAAUUAAGUAAUUAAUUAACUAAUAAUAAAAACGGGGGGUGUAUUUUGAAUUAUAUAAGUGAUUGGGCUUCUAGGGUGGGGUGUGAUUAACAAAGGAAUUGGAGCCCAGUUGCUGCUGAAGCCUAGCGCCUGGGAGGGUCUACGGAGGGAGAGAGUCAAUGGUUGACUCUCUCUGAGCCUCUCUAUUAGGAUCAAACAGAUCUUAUGAAACGAGAUCACCAUCCUUGAUCUUGAUUACUGGUCAAGGUAUGAAGAAUGAGACUUAUGGUGUAUGCGUGUGCAUAAGGGACAGAUUUACUCAGCAUCACAAUUGGGUAAGGGGAGGCCACAUAGGUGUGACGUAUAUAAGACAAUCCCCUUCACACUUGUUUAUUUCUUUCCUUUUUUUCUCUCUCUUCGCUCCUAUCUAUCUCUCGUUCUCCCAACUACUUCUUCCUUUGGUUGCUCUAUGUUCUUCACCCCUACCAUCUAAACCACCGCAUUCUUCAAUUUUCCGGUUGAACUUCAACCGAAAAAUUCAAACAUUCAAACACAUCAUCUCCAAAACCUUCAACCUAGCCCAGAAACCCUCACAUCCCCACGAACCCUAACCCUAAUAUUAUGAACCCUAACACUACCAUUUUCCAGAUUUCACCUUCCCUCACCCAGAUUCACAUUAAACAGUGGCCAAUCCAUAGAUCGGCCUUCCCUAAACCCCAAUCAAACCUCUAAAUCCCAAAAUCAACUCAAUAAUUUAUUACCCUAACCCUAAACCCCUUUUUCGAUUUAUCCCCAAAGUCAAACCAUAAACAAAAUUAUUGCAAACAAACAAGCAUACAAAUUCAAUAUAUGUCAGGUUUACUACGGAGCCAAAACAGGGACCAGCCUAUGGAAUGGAGAAGUAUUCCAGUCAAUCGAGGUAAAUGAUCCUUUUUUCUGUCUCUUUACGUUUUAGCCUUUUCUUCUCCUUCUCUUUUUUGACUGCUUCUUUUUCGUUUUAUGCGAGAUGCUAUUGAACUGUGGCUAGCUCAUAAGAAUUAGGGUUUCAAUGAGAAACCCUAAUCUUUGUUUGAAUUAGAGCUUUGAUGGAUGGUUUGGAAAUUGCAGAAGAAUCCGCUUCUAGGUUUUUUUUCGUCUCCUUUCUGUUUUAGAUUUAGGUUAUUUAUAGGUUACAAUAUUUUGAUUAGAUUGAUUCAAUUAGGAAGUUUUGUACUAGGUUCAAUCAGAUUUCAUUUAGUUUAGAAAUAGAUUAGGAUUUUUGAAUUGUAACUGAAAUUAUAAUGUAUUUGAUCCGAUAUUUGAUUUGUAAUACGUGAUUUUAUGAAAUUGAAAACUUUGGAUUGAGUUGAAAAUUGCAUGUUACUAUUUUGAUUAUGUGAAUGAAACCAUGGGGGAUUGAAGAAGAUGAUGAAUAGGGUCCGGGUCAGGCUUAAUCCAGCCCAAUGAUGGGUUUGGGUUGUGCCUCUCUCUCUCUCUCACAUAUAUCAUAAUGUAAAUAUAAGAAUGAUUAAUUAUUUUUUAUCAUAAUAAAAAAUUAUUAACUUAAUAUAAAUUGUAUUUAAGACAAUUUGUAUAGAAAAUUGAUAUAGAUUAAUAUUCCCCAAAUUUUUUAAACUGA